CCUACGAGGUGCAGCAGUGGGGAAUAUUGGGCAAUGGGCGCAAGCCUGACCCAGCAACGCCGCGUGAAGGAAGAAGGCUUUCGGGUUGUAAACUUCUUUUGACAGGGAAGAGUAGAAGACGGUACCUGUCGAAUAAGCCACGGCUAACUACGUGCCAGCAGCCGCGGGAAUACGUAGGUGGCAAGCGUUGUCCGGAUUUACUGGGUGGAAAGGGCGUGUAGCCGGGUUGACAAGUCAGAUGUGAAAUCCUGCGGCUUAACCGCAGAACUGCAUUUGAAACUGUUGAUCUUGAGUACUGGAGAGGCAGACGGAAUUCCUAGUGUAGCGGUGAAAUGCGUAGAUAUUAGGAGGAACACCAGUGGCGAAGGCGGUCUGCUGGACAGCAACUGACGGUGAGGCGCGAAAGCGUGGGGAGCAAACAGGAUUAGAUACCCGAGUAGUC
rnacentral:rRNA from 1 species